rnacentral:rRNA from 1 species
AAAUUGAAGAGUUUGAUCAUGGCUCAGAUUGAACGCUGGCGGCAGGCCUAACACAUGCAAGUCGAACGGUAACAGGAAGCAGCUUGCUGCUUUGCUGACGAGUGGCGGACGGGUGAGUAAUGUCUGGGAAACUGCCUGAUGGAGGGGGAUAACUACUGGAAACGGUAGCUAAUACCGCAUAACGUCGCAAGACCAAAGAGGGGGACCUUCGGGCCUCUUGCCAUCGGAUGUGCCCAGAUGGGAUUAGCUAGUAGGUGGGGUAAAGGCUCACCUAGGCGACGAUCCCUAGCUGGUCUGAGAGGAUGACCAGCCACACUGGAACUGAGACACGGUCCAGACUCCUACGGGAGGCAGCAGUGGGGAAUAUUGCACAAUGGGCGCAAGCCUGAUGCAGCCAUGCCGCGUGUAUGAAGAAGGCCUUCGGGUUGUAAAGUACUUUCAGCGGGGAGGAAGGGAGUAAAGUUAAUACCUUUGCUCAUUGACGUUACCCGCAGAAGAAGC